GUUCCUGCAGCCACACUGCCCCCCUCUGCUGUUCAAAGUGGCGGGGGUUCACCACACAGCAGCUCCGUCAGACCGACGGGAACUGCCUUCAGUGCUGAGCAAGAAUGGAGAGUCCCUUUCUCCACACCUCCCUAUCAAUCAAUGAAAACUGCCACAGUCCCAUUGACAUUGGAUGGAAACAACGACAGCCUUGUUGUGGUUGGUGCAGCUCUGGGUGUGUUGGCGUGUCUAAUUAUGGCUGCUCUUGCGGUCCUUCUCAGAACAAGAUCAGUUUCAAAAUCACUUGGUAAGACCAACCACCAUACACAGUUUGGAAAACGUUACUUAUCAAAACCAUCCGACAUUUUAC